rnacentral:rRNA from 1 species
GACGUACCACCCAAACGUUAUUCGGAUUCACUGGGCUUACAGAGUCCGUAGGCGGUCAAGAAAGUUAGGCGUGAAAUCCCUCAGCUCAACUGAGGAAUAGCGCUUAAAACUACUUGGCUAGAGAGAGUCAGAGGUGAGCGGAACUGAUGGUGGAGCGGUGAAAUGCGUUGAUAUCAGGAGGAACACCAGUGGCGAAGGCGCCGCUCUGGGCCGUAACUGACGCUGAGAAGCGAAAGCGUGGGGAGCAAACAGG